GCAAACUUGGUCAUUUAGAGGAAGUAAAAGUCGUAACAAGGUUUCCGUAGGUGAACCUGCGGAAGGAUCAUUAGCGAAGCUCGGAACACAUGUCCGGUACUGAUGCUGCCCAGCAAUGGGAUGUGCUCGUCUGGACGUGUGUCCCUUCUCUAUUCCACCCCACUGUGAACCAAGCGUUGUGAGCCGAAGAGAGAUCGGAGGCUUGCGCGCAACACUUAUCAUACCCCAUACGAAGUAACAGAAUGUACCUUGCGUUAACUCGCACAAAUAUAACUUUCAACAACGGAUCUCUUGGCUCUCGCAUCGAUGAAGAACGCAGC
rnacentral:misc_RNA from 1 species